UCCAAUUUGCACAGACUACAGCUGCUAAGUUAUUAAAGCAUAACUUUAAUUAACCAUUAAAGAAAUAUAAAUAAAUAUAUGUGUUUCUUAAUUAUUUAAUUAUUACUUGUCGUGUAUUGAUUUCCCAUUUGCUGCAAUAUUAAUUUUAGUAUCUACCUCAUGUGCUACACCUGUUCUUUCUACAUGUGCUAUGCCUGGUAAGUUGCAAAACUUUUUUUGCAUGUGUAUGCAACUGGAUACAUGUAAACUCGAGAAAAUGAAUAAUCGUGCAAAUGCAUACUCAUGCGAUCUGUCAUCGAGAGAACCCGAAGUACUGCUCCAAAUAAAUGAAGAAGGAUGGAUACCACUGUUUCUUGCAAUAA
rnacentral:lncRNA from 1 species